GACAGAGGAUGCAAGCGUUAUCCGGAAUGAUUGGGCGUAAAGCGUCUGUAGGUGGCUUUUUAAGUCCGCCGUCAAAUCCCAGGGCUCAACCCUGGACAGGCGGUGGAAACUACCAAGCUGGAGUACGGUAGGGGCAGAGGGAAUUCCUGGUGUAGCGGUGAAAUGCGCAGAUAUCAGGAGGAACACCGAUGGCGAAGGCGGGUCUCUGGGCAGUAACUGACGCUGAGGAGCGAAAGCGUGGGGAGCGAACAGG
rnacentral:rRNA from 1 species